AAGGAUCAUUACUGAAGGCUAACCGCCGACAUUGUGAAACGCUUCUCCGGAAGCAUUGCUUGGGUGUCGCAAGGCGCCCAACAUUCAAACUCUUAUAUUUUAUCUCUGACAACCAAGAAAUUUAAAACUUUCAACAACGGAUCUCUUGGUUCUCGCAUCGAUGAAGAACGCAGCAAAGCGCGAUAGGUAAUGCGAAUUGCACACGUGAGUCAUUGAAUCUUUGAACGCACAUUGCGCCAUCAGGUUCUCCUGAUGGCAUGCUUGUUGGAGCGCCGAUCUUUCUCUCAUACUACUUUAUGUAGAAGAGGUUCUGCUCCUAUCAGGAGUCAAAAGAAUGGAAGUGCACACGUUAGAUAACUCUGUGCAGUUACACUUACAAUCUUUUGGCCUCCAAUCAAGCAAGGCUACCCGCUGAACUUAAGCAUAUCAAUAAGCGGAGGAA
rnacentral:misc_RNA from 1 species